rnacentral:rRNA from 1 species
CCUACGGGAGGCAGCAGUGAGGAAUAUUGCACAAUGGACGAGAGUCUGAACCAGCCAAGUAGCGUGAAGGAUGACUGCCCUAUGGGUUGUAAACUUCUUUUAUAUGGGAAUAAAAUGUUCCACGUGUGGGAUAUUGUAUGUACCAUAUGAACAAGGAUCGGCUAACUCAGUGCCAGCAGCCGAGGUAAUACGGAGGAUCCGAGCGUUAUCCGGAUUUAUUGGGUGUAAAGGGAGCGUAGGUGGAUUGUUAAGUCAGUUGUGAAAGUUUCGGGCUUAACCGGAGAAUUGCAGUUGAAACUGGGAGUCUUGAGUACAGUAGGGGUGGGCGGAAUUCGUGGUGUAGCGGUGAAAUGCUUAGAUAUCACGAAGAACUCCGAUUGCGAAGGCAGUUCACUGGACUGCAACUGACGCUGAGGCUCGAAAGUGUGGGUAUCAAACAGGAUUAGAUACCCGGGUAGUC